rnacentral:rRNA from 1 species
AUGUUCCCAGAAGAUUACAUGAUCCAUAGAAAAAGAUUGAUUAGAUUGUGGAUCGCUGAAGGGUUUAUUGAACAAAUUGGAGCAUGCAGUUUAGAAGAUGUUGCUGAAGGUUACCUGACAGAGCUCGUUCGGCGAAGCAUGCUUCAUGUGGUAGAGAGGAACAGUUUUAACAGGAUCAGGUGUCUUCGAAUGCAUGAUCUUGUCCGUGAAUUAGCCAUUUUCAAGUCUAGAAGAGAGAGUUUCAGUAUGACUUAUGAUGAUAGUCAUGAGGUGAUGCAGGUGGAGUCAGAUUCUCGUCGCUUGUCGGUGCUCCAAUGCGAAAAUGACAUUCAACCAAGCAUAGGUCAACGCAGGCUUCGUACCUUCUUAGCAUUUAGCACCAGCAUGGCAUCAUCUUCUUUGUUUCGCUCUGAAUCUAAGUACCUUGCUGUGUUGGAGCUAUCAGGAUUACCUAUUAUGACUAUUCCAAAUUCAGUUGGGGAGCUAUUCAACCUGAGAUAUUUGGGCCUCGAUGACACCAAGGUGAAGGUACUCCCAAACUCUGUAACAAACCUUCACAACUUAGAAACACUAAGUCUCCAAGAUGCUGAUUGUUUGAAAUGCCCGCGAGGGUCUCAAAAGCUGAAGCGAUUGCGGAACAUUCUUAUGUUUAAAUGGAUUGUUAACUCACCCUUGACUUUUGGAAGCUGA